AUAUCAAUAAGCGGAGGAAAAGAAACCAACAGGGAUUGCCUCAGUAACGGCGAGUGAAGCGGCAACAGCUCAAAUUUGAAAUCUGGCCCUCUCAGGGUCCGAGUUGUAAUUUGUAGAAGAUGCUUCGGGUGUGGCUCCGGUCUAAGUUCCUUGGAACAGGACGUCAUAGAGGGUGAGAAUCCCGUAUGUGACUGGUUGCCUUCGCCCAUGUGAAGCUCUUUCGACGAGUCGAGUUGUUUGGGAAUGCAGCUCAAAAUGGGUGGUAAAUUUCAUCUAAAGCUAAAUAUUGGCCAGAGACCGAUAGCGCACAAGUAGAGUGAUCGAAAGAUGAAAAGCACUUUGGAAAGAGAGUUAAACAGUACGUGAAAUUGUUGAAAGGGAAGCGCUUGCAACCAGACUUGCGCGCUGCUGAUCAUCCAGGGUUCUCCCUGGUGCACUCAGCAGCGUUCAGGCCAGCAUCGGUUUGGGUGGUUGGAUAAAGGCCUUGGGAAUGUAGCUUCUCUCGGGGAGUGUUAUAGCCCUCGGUGCAAUGCAGCCUACCUGGACCGAGGACCGCGCUUCGGCUAGGAUGCUGGCGUAAUGGUUGUAAGCGA
rnacentral:rRNA from 1 species